CCUACGGGAGGCAGCAGUGGGGAAUAUUGGGCAAUGGGCGCAAGCCUGACCCAGCAACGCCGCGUGCAGGAAGAAGGCUUUCGGGUUGUAAACUUCUUUUGUCAGGGACGAAGCAAGUGACGGUACCUGACGACUAAGCCACGGCUAACUACGUGCCAGCAGCCGCCGUAAUACGUAGGUGGCAAGCGUUAUCCGGAUUUACUGGGUGUAAAGGGCGUGUAGGCGGGGAGGCAAGUCAGAUGUGAAAACCACGGGCUCAACCGGUGGCCUGCAUUUGAAACUGUUUUUCUUGAGUGCGGGAGAGGUAAUCGGAAGUCGGGGUGUAGCGGUGAAAUGCGUAGAUAUACGGAGGAACACCAGUGGCGAAGGCGGAUUGCUGGACAGUAACUGACGCUGAGGCGCGAAAGCGUGGGGAGCAAACAGGAUUAGAUACCCUAGUAGUC
rnacentral:rRNA from 1 species